CACUUACCUUAACCAUAGUUUUCUCUUCUGUCAAAUGCUGGUGUCGCACUUGAUGGUCCCCCGUUGUCCUGCGGCCGUAUGGCGCCGUGAGGGUCAGAGGGCAAGCAAGCCCUGGCACUGAUGCCAUGUGUGUGUGUUGGAAUGAGAACCACAGUCAUGUUGCCACAUCUUGAUGGCCUAAAAUGUAGAAAUCCCCCAGCUCCCUGGGUCCCCUGAUACUAGAGAAUCCCCUAUCCCCCUACAAGGACAGGCUCAAAGUCUUAUCCACCGUGGUGACAAGUACUUGCUGUCCUUGGAUAAGAGACCAUGCAUUUUUGUCCAAAAUGGCUCCUUGUUCACUUUUAAUAAAAUUUGGUCCCUUCCUCUUAUCUCCUGCACUUGAAUAAAAAGUAAAUUCAUCUUAAUGAACGUUAGAAACAUUCAUUAAGUAUCUACCACAUGUCAGGCCCCAUGUUAAACCCUGGAGAUGUAAAGAAAGGUGAACGGCAGCUCUUCAUGAGCUCCCAGUCUCAUGGCAGAGACAACAAGCCAACAGCUACAUAGGAGCCUUGUUGAGAAAGGAGACCAUUGCAGGCCUGGGGGACAGCCACUGAUAAUGGUUAGAGUCAGAAGAUGGAGCGUGUUGUUCCAAGAAAAAGGAGGCCAUUGUCAUUGUAUUACUUAUAUAUUAUAUUUGGGGGAGUGUAAGGUGAAAGGAGACUGGAAAGGCGGCUGGUCAGGAAGGGCUUUGAAUGCCAAGCAGAGGCUUUUAGAUCUCAUUUUGGAGGCUCUGGGGGUCACUGAGUAGUGGCCCUGCUGGCUGAGCAGCUGAAUGGAGGAUGGAGGGGACAGGGCGAGAAUGGAGGCAGGAAGAGCAAUAAAAAGGGUCUUUCAGAGGCCCAAUGUGAGAUGAUGAGGAAGUGCCCCAAGGUGGGGGCAGUGUCAGAGGACAGAAGUGUCACUUGUGAGAGGUGUGCAGAAGGUCAAAUGGACAGGCUAUGGUAAUAAAUAAAUAGAUAAUAAAUCCUUUGGUUUUCCUUAACACCCAAAUUUCCCCCCUUUUCUCCAUCUAUAUAAGUAGGAGCCCAUCCUCUUUGUUCUCUUCCUCUCUCUCUCUCGUGAAAUGCUUGUUGAAUGCUGCUUAUUGUUAUUGUGUUUUGUGUGCAUGAAAGAUUGUGAAAGCCCAGUUUCUUCCUUAGAAAGCUUUAGCUGCUUCUCUUCAUGGAGAGUAGCCCUUCUCCGCAGGCUAGGGAGAGUAGUUCCUCCAGAUGCAGGGUAACUGACAGGACUCGAACCUGUUGGUGAGUUAGGGCCUGAUCCUCUCAAAGCUGGAGCCAUUGCUGUGCAGGGCCCAGAGCUUCAGAGACACCAGGGCCGUUGCUGGUCCUCCUGACCUUUGUCCUGCCUCUGGACUGAGGUGACAAAGACAGACAAGCUGGCAACUUUCUGCAACUGUGCCUCACUUAAAUCCAAUUCAUGUGCAAGUCAACUCAUCCCCUCUCAUCCACUAUUUUGCUUCAAACAAUGUCCUUGGUCCUCUUCAAAAAUGAAGGAUGAACAACAACAAGAAGUAGGGAUGCUUUUAGUUUAGCUUCCUAUCUCUGAUCUAGGGUCUCUGGCUUCUGGCUGUUGUGUUUCUAGAAGGAGAUUGAGAGAAUGAUCCAAGUGUUUGAAGUUAGAAGGCUGGUUAGUGUAGUUCACUCUGAGUUGGUGGAGUGAUGGGACACUUGGGAGUGCUGAAGUGCGCGUAUAAUACAAUUUUGCCUUUAUGAACAGCCUUCCAUGGUACUGUCAUUCUUCUACUCAUUGGGUGCUACGAGUGGUUUUUAUGCAAGUUUCUUUGGUGUAAAGGAGAGGAUAGUGAAACUCGUGGAGAGGAGAGUGAAACUCGUGGGAAGGGUGUUAAUUCAGGUGUUUGUUGGUUGUGGUUCACAGGAAGGGCAGUUCUGUGCCAGGGAAUUGGCUUAGUUGUGAAUUGUUGAUCAAGGCUGGGACUAUCCACCUUGGUAGCUGUAGCUACUUCUCAAACUUUCUCUUUGGAAGGUAGAGAGGAAAGAUUUAGGAACCUUGUGCUUCAAUAGGAGGAACACUUCCUUGAUUUGUCAGUGGAAGAACUGGCACGAAGACUUCAUUUGGAACCUUGUGCUUCUUGACCUCAAGAAAAAUUCUUUAUUCCCCCAUGAAAUAAACAGAAGGCAUUGGGCUGCCUGUGUGCAUGAGUGAAGAUGGCCUGUGACUGUAUGAGUGAAUGUAUAAGCCCAAACUUGUCAUGAGGCAAAACCCCUGUGAAGAUCUGUCUUUGGAUGAGUAUCCUUCCAGGGAGAAUCUUUGACAAUCACUGAUUUCUUAGCUAGCAUAGAAUAUAAUACACAUAGAAUCCUACUGCCUAAAAUAGUCUCCAAUAGUGUAGCCCCUAUGGGAAAAUUAGACCCAAUGGGAAACCAAACAAACCAUCACAAUCCUAGAACUUCUUUUAUCUCAGAAUUUUCCCUUCCCAGCUUAUUUUAGGUCCUUAAAAAGGGAACUAAAACUUACAGUAAAAGAUUUUGUGUCAUGAGACUUAGGAGAGAAUGAGCAGUGCUUUGAGUGUGCUUGGUUGUUCUAUGUACCAUAGAGUAUAUGCUGUCAGUGUCGUCUGUACUUUGUGUCCUUGUAAGUCAAGCUGAACUUUUUCCUAGGGUCUGAUCAGCCUAAGGAAAAAGGGUGAAAGGGGCAAGAGCUCGUCAUUGAAAAUUUCCAAACUUUGAAUGGAUAUCACCUUAUCCCUGUAUUCCUAAUUCUGGCCAAGUUAGGAAUAUGGGUUGCAGGGGGAGGAGAGGGAUAGGGGAAAAGCUCAUUCAUGUCUAUUUGAGAGAGAGAGAGAGAGAGAAAGAGAGAGAGAGGAGGAGGAUUCUUUUUUGAUUUGAGGAAAUUUGUGAAAUUGCAAACUAGAGAAGAAAUUUAUGAGUGAAAUGUAGUCCUUUUAAUGUGCUUGUCCAAAUUCUGACAAGAUUAUCGUUUGAAUAUUCAUAUAUAUAUAUAUAUAUUUCUAUAUCUUAUUGGCUUUUUUGGGAUACAGUACCUUAGAGCUGCCAAAAAUGGAGAUUUGGUGGAAUCACAUAGAAAAUUUAUUCUAAUCCCUAUACCAUUCUUUAUCUUCCUUGGAAGAUUGAAGGAUUUAUUGCUUUUAUGUAGGGAAGGUGAUUUCAAUGAGUAGGCGAUUUUUAGCCCUUAAUAGAAUUGAAGCUAGUUUUGUCUCCAGUGAUUCCAAAAGUGGUAAAAAAAAAUAAGGCAGUCAAUUUGUAGUUUGAAGUUUUGAAGCAUUAUCUAGCAUUUAAGAAAAAACUAGUGCAGUAAUGCACUAGAAUGAAUGGCUUGUUUAAAUCAGAAUGCAAAAUGGAGUAAGGGAAUAAGCAAUUUCAUUUUGGAAGAGUAGUUUAUCUGACUACUCUGGUCUUCUGUGACACAUUUAACUGAAACUAGUUGCUGAGAUAAAUAAGAAGCAAAGUCACUGAAAAGAAAUUAAGAUGGAAUAUGAUUUUUAAGCUUUUAAGUAAGGAACCAAAUUGGAAGGGUUUUCUUGGUAGAAAGAGAAACUCUCUGUAAACCCUGAAAUUUUUAAUUUUGAUCAGGGAAGAAUGAAGUUUUAAACUGAAUUGCAGAUGUACAAGGAAAAUGUGCUGAAGUUGCACAUUCAGGAGAUUAGAGAAAUUAGUCCCGAAAUGGUCUGCUUUCAGCAUGCUUUAGAGGGAGAGGUGCGACAUUGAGAAAGUCGCAUUGAAGGAAGGAAGGUGAAGCCGCAGACCAGGUGUGCUGAGAGGCAGUUCUAGGGUGUGCAGGGCUCAGUCUAGUUUGAUCCAAGUCAGAACAGAGAGAAGACUGCGCCUUUCUAACACCUCUUAAGAAUUCCCCCCUUCUGUUCUCUGACAUGGCCCCCACUCUUGUCCAGGGCCUCAUUACCUCAUAUCUGGACUAUGGCAAUAGUGGCUCUGCUCCAAGUCUCCCCCUUCUAGUCCAUCCUUCAUUGGGCCAAGAAUGCUUUUCCUAAAGCGCAGGUCCAAUCAUGUUCCCCUUGUACAGUAAACUUCAGCGGCUCCCUACUGCUUCCAGAAUCUAAUAAAUAAUAUUUUCUUAGAUCAGAUCUCUUCCCAAGUUGCCCUUCCUGCAUUUGAGUCUCGUUCUACUUUAUUCUCCUCCACCUCCCCUGGGUGCAGCGACAUUAUCCUCCUUGCUGUACCUUGAAGGUAAUUCUGUCCCCUGACUAUUCAUAUUUUCACUGGUUUUCCACCAUGCCUGUAAUGCUCUACCUGCUCAGUCUCAUGGUGGAUGGUCCCCUGUCCUUGGAGUCCAGACAAUUUUGCGUUCUCAUUCUGAAUCACACUGUGGCAAGCCAUGUUACCUCGGGAAAGUCAAUCGACUUCCUUCAGUCCCAGUUUCCUCUUUUGUAAAAAGAUGGGGCUGGAUGUGAUGUAACUUUAUAGCUCUGUGACCCAGUGGAUGAGAGAGAGAAAAAAGAAAGCCCCCUGGCAAUUUGUGUGUGAGAGAGAUUUGGAGGGAAGCUGGCAAUGAGGAAGAUCAGAGAGAAGGGGCCGCCAGCAAUGAGGCCUGGGGGCAAUGCGUGAAGUGACACAGGCUCCUAGAGGACACAUCACUAUUGUGGAUGGUCCUGAGGCCCCAAGUUCAAAUUCUGCUUCACAACAUGCUUACUAGCUGUGUGAUGCUGGGAAAGUCAUCAAAAUUGUUUAAGCUGCUUUUUUCUUCUUUAAAAUGAUGGAGUUGGACUCAGUAGCCCUUAUGGUUCAUUCCAACUCAAAAUGUCAGAUAAUCUCAGUGACCCAAGAGCUAAUGCCGAGUACUGAUUUUUAGAUUAGAGGGACAGUACGGCAAAAAGCUUCUGAGCAGCACAUUGAGAGAAAUACAUUUUCUAUGGACAGUGAGUUUUCUGAGUGGACUGUCCUUGGAAGUUUAGAGCUGAGUUCAAAUCCUACUUCAGAAUUUAAAUAAAUAUUUGCUCUGGGUUAUUCACUUAAGAGUGUUUUAAACCUCUCUUUCCUUUGAGAUAAUAUAGUUGAGUGGGACUCAACGACGCUCAUGGUUCCUCCCAGGUCUAAAUCUAUGAUCAUAUUAGUGAUGGAAAGAAAAAAAAAGAAUAGUUAUUAUUGAGUAGAAAUGACAGUAAGGAUAAAAAAUCUUUUGAGGAAGAAGGGAGAGAGGAAAUAAGCUGAAAAAGAGAGAGGUAGAAAGGAGGAGGGUAGUGAGUGAAUGUAAAAGAGGGCGGGAGAGGAGAGACAGAAUCAGAUAACCAGCUAUAGACAUGAGACAGAGGCAAAGAGCAAAACCAAAAAUAAAAGGCGAAAAAAGACUCCUUCAAAAGGAGCAAAGAAAUGUGGGACCAGACCAUUUUGGAGGAUAGUGAGAUGUAAAAUGAGGAGAUGAAAAAAAAUGUAAAGGAAUAGAAUUCCUAUGAAACAUGAUGCAAAUUAGCUAGGUACUAUAAUGGUCAAAACAUUUUAUUUGGAAUAUACUGUUUGAAAAUCAAUUACAUAUUGGGUCCUGACAAAUUGUGUACCCUGGAGAAGUCCCUUAACCAACUUCAGCCUCAAUUUUUGUCUCAGUCAACUUAUGGGGCUGGACUUCAUGGUCCAGGGUGAUCCUCUGCUUAUCAGAGAAUGAAAUCCUACUUGGGAUUAAUCUUGGAUUAGAGAGAGCCGAAUUAGAGGGAAUAGGUCAAUGAGGAAGAAGGGAGAAGAAGGCAAGGGUCCCCUGGAAAUGGAUCUGUGAGAAUUAGUGGAAUGUGUAGAAUUAAACAGAUAUCCUAGUGGACUCUUCCAAGAGGUUUAAAGGAUUUGAGUUCAAAUCUUAGUUAACAUUUGUAAUAAGUGGUUGACUGGGUAAUUCAGUUAGAGUGUCAACCUCUGUUCUCUGUUAUAUUAUCAUAGAGUUGGACUUAGUGGCCCCUUGGGUUCCUUUCAACUCUAAAUCUAUGAUUAUAUCAAUGAUUGUGACAAAAGUACAAAAGCUUUAUUUACUGAUAAAAUUAGAAGAUACAAAAGCUUUUGAGGAGGAGAUAGAUCCAAGGAUAAGAGGGACAGCCAGAAUAAGAAAGAAAGAGAAAACAAUAAGAAAGAAUAGAGAGAGGUUGAGACGAGACAGAUAUAUAUAUAUAUUAUGCACACACAGGAAGACAGAGACAGAAACAGAGAAAGAGAGAGACAAUUCUGGGAAAUUUAAUUUGAGUGACUAAGCUACUUGCUUCUACUAUAGUAUAAUGGAAUUGGAUUCACUGGCCCCUAAAGUUAAUUUUAGCUUUAAAUUUAUGAAUAUAGUCAUGAAAGGGGAAAAAGAAAAUAGCAGUUAUUAUUGGGUGGGAAUUAGAGUAAUGAGAAAAAGCUUUUGAAUAAGAAAGAAAGAGAGAAGGAGAGGAGAAAGAGAGUGAGAGAGGUGGAGAGAACCAUAUGAUAAGGAACAAGAAACUGAAGGAAGAAACCAUUAAGAAUGAAAAUGAAGAAUAAAUAUAAGAGAUCACAAGUGAGGUAGUGAUGCACAAGGAAGAGACACCUGGUAUGUGUAAAACAGACCGGGCAAGUGUCGUAAUGGACAGAACACCUUCCUUAUAAUUAGCUCUCUGAGUUCAAAUCGACCAGAGCUGCUGACAGGCUCUGUUUCUCUGGGGAAAGUAACUUAACUGCUGUCUGACUCAGUCUUCUAUUUAGUAAAAUCUUGAGACUGCACUUGAUGGCAUCAAACAGUAUUAAAGUUCAAUGAUCCUAUGGGUGGCAGAGAUAGCAAAGAAAAUCUUUGUGGACUUGUGGUGCAGAAGAAAGAAUUAAAGGGUAUAGGGCACAGGAAGGGAAGAGAUACAGAGAAGGCAAACUGGCAAAUAGGGUUGGUUAAAAUAUGUUAGAGAAGAGAGAUGAAAAAAUUCAUAGAGUAGCAGUAAGAUAUUAAAAGGAAGUCAUGGAUAGAUGUAGGAAGAAAAACAGAGAGAGGAAGACAUAAGAUGGAGAGAAAGACAGAACCACAUGAGAAUGGCAAUGGAAUGAGGGGAAAAAACCAUCACGAAGGAAAAUGAGGAAUAGAGAAAACAGACUUUAUACUCAGGUAGAAAUACAAAGGGAGAGGCUCCUGCAGGUGGAGAACAACCCAGCUUGGUAUCUUAGUAGUUAAGAGCACUCUUCUUAGAGGGGACCUGCUGGGUUUAAGCCUCCCCUCAGCUGUCCAUAAGCCAUGCUCCUCUGGAGAAGUCAUAGUCAGCCUUAGUUUAGUCUUAAUUAUAUAUUUAUUGGGCUGGCUUUGAUGGUGACUAAAGGCACUCCAGCUCUCUGAGCCUCUGGCUGCCAGAGAGAGAAAAGUAUGCUUACUUGGCUAUAAGCUUGCAAGAGAGAAAGUUAGACAUCCUCUGCCAUUGAGGGUGGCGAGGUAGAAGGAUGAGUUCACAAGAAAUAGAAGUGUCUGCAGUGGAGACAGUAUGGAGACCAAAACAGCCAAUUCUCCUAGAGGACUGUUUCUGGAAGUCAGAAAGUCCUGAGUUCAAAACCUAGUUAACAUUAUGAACAUUUGGUGCUGGGAUAUUCACUUUGAGUGACUAAGCUACUUGCUUCUAUUAUGGUAUAAUAGAAUUGGACUCAGGGGUCCCUAUGGUGGAUUCCAGCUUUAAAUAAAUGAACAAAGUCAUGAAAAAUGAAAAUAGUUAUUAUUGGGUAGGAAUUAGAGUAAGGAGAAAAUGCUUUUGAGGAAGAGACAAGAGAUGGAAAGAGAGAAAACGAGGGAGGGAAGAAUGGAAGGAGAGAAGGAAAGAGAAAAAAAUAAAGAGAGAAUGGCAGUGAGAUAAAUGUAGAAAACCAGACAGAUAAGCGAUAUACAGGGAAUUAGAUACAACCAAGAGAGACAUUGAUACAGAGGGAGAGACAGAGAUAGAAAGACAGGGACACACAGGGACAGAAAAGAGAAAUAUAGAGAUCAAAUCAGAGAGACAGAAAGAGAAAAUAGAGACGAGAGAGAAACAGCGAAAGUGAACCCUUUGGUAAUAGGGAAAGGAAUAUAUGAAGGGCCAUUUUUCAGGACUGAGCAACUGAGGAAGGAAGUAAAAAAAAUUGUAAAGGGAUAGAACCAUCUGGAAACUGUGGGGCAAACUAGUUGGGUUUCCUAGUGCUUAGAGCAUUAUAUUUGGAGUUGACUGAAUUUCACAUGCACAUCAGGGGCUGACAAUCUCUUACUUUGAAAAAUCCUUUAAUUACUGUCAGCCUCAGUUUUCAUUUCAGUCAACUUAUGUGGCUGGACUUGAUGGUAUUAAUGACCUUCCAGCUCCAAGAUUCUCUGGAUGCCAGAGAAUGGAAAACAUGUUCGUUUGGGAUUAAUCUUGACUUAGAGAAAGACAGGGAAAAUCAGUCACUGAAGAUGAGGAGACAGAGGCAAGUGUCCAUAGAAAACAGUAAUAUGGGAAAAUUUAGUGGAAUAUGAAGAGCAGAACAGCUCGAUAUCUUAGUGAACUCUUCUUGGAAAUCUGAAGGCUCUGAGUUCAAAUCCUAGUUAAGAUUUAUAAAAAGUAUUUGACUCUGGGUCAUUCAGUUAAAGUAUCAGCCUCUGUCCUCUGUUAUAUUAUCACAGAAUUGGACUCAGUGGCUUCUUGGGUUCCUUCUAGCUCUAAAUGUCUGAUCAUGGUUAUGAUAGCAUAAAUAAAAAAGAACAGUAUUGAGUGGGAAGUAGAGUAAGGUAAAAAAGUGUGAAGAAGAAAUAGAAAGAGGAGAGUUAGGGAGAGAUACAUACACAUACACACAGACCCAGAGGCCAAGAGACAGAGAAAUAAAGGAUACUGAGUGUCUAAGCCUCUAAUUCUCUGUUGUACUACAGUGGAGUGGGGCUCACUAGCCCUGAGGCUACUUACAGCUCUCUGUCUUGGAUCCUAUUGAUGAAAGGGAGCAAAAGCUUAUUCAAGGGGAAUUAGAAAAAGGAAAAAAGCUUGUGAGGAGGAGAGAGAAAGGGAGCGUUUGAGAGAGCUGGAGAAAGAAAAUAAUGAAAUGAGAUAGAAUCAGAGAGAAUUGGAGAUAAAAUUACAGAAUGGCACUGAUAUAGAAAAAGAAAACCAGGCACAAAUAGAACAAGAGAGAUAGCGAUAGUCUCACACACAGACGCACAGAUAUUGAACUAAGGCUUGAGAGAAGAGACCACUAUGGAGGAAAAUAAGGAAUAGAGAUAAGAAACAAGGGAGAGAUGCAAAGGAAAAAGACAGCCAGCAACUAUAGAAGAAGCCAAAGAGGUGGCAUAGUGUUAGAGCACUCUGCUGGGAGUUGAGUCAUUGAAUUGAAAUCCCUUUUCAGCUGCUGACAAGCUCCGUUACUAUGGAGGAGUCAUGUAACUACUGUCAGCCUUAAUUUUCUCCUCAGUAAAAUGAUGGGGCUGGACUUGAUGGUGUCUAAUGACGCUUCAGCUCCAAGAUGCUGUUUCCAGACAGAGCAAAGAUUGUCCCCUUGGGACUUGGGCAGGAGAAGACUAACUAGGACAUGCAGGAGGAGACCAGUAGGAAGGGGAGUAGAAGAAAAAUUUCUCCAUGGACUUGGAAGUCCUGGGUUCAAAAUCUACUUCUCAUUUUAAGAAAUGUUUGACCCCAGGCAAUUUAUUUAGAGUGUCCAAGCCUCUGUCUGCUAUUAUACUAUAAUAAGGAGCUGGACUCAAUGGCCCCUAAGGUUCCUUUCAGCUCUCAAUCGGUGAUCAUAUUGAUGAUAAAGAAGAAGAGAAAAGAUCACUGCUUAAUGAAUAGGAAUUAGAGCAAGGAAGAAAAAGCUUAGAAGGAGGAAGGAGAGAAAGGCAGAAGUAAACUGAAGAGAGACAGAAAGAGAGAAAUCUAGACAGAAAAAGAAAAGACCCUUAUUACUGGGUGGGAAUAGGAGCAAAGAAAGGAAAGCUUUUGAGGGGGAAUGGAGAGAGGAAGAAGAAGAUGGAAGGAAUGAGAGAAAGAGAGAGGGUGAGACAGAAUGAUAGAGGGGGAGAGACAGAAAUACAGAGAGAAAAUUGUAUAAACAAAGACAGAAUGAGAAAAAUAUAUAUGCCAAAAGGUGGCAAGGUGUUGGAGGACACCAUAUUAAAUUUUGAAUUUACAGUUUGAAUUUAAAUGCUGCCUUCCGUGCUGACGGCCCGAUUCUAAUGAAGACACUUAAACACUGUCAGUCUGAGAUUUCUCCUCAUUAAAAUCAUGGGUCUGGAUUUGAUGAUGUCUAAUGACAGUCCAACUCUGUGAUGAUAUGCGUACCAGUGAGAGAAAAGCACGUCCACUUGGGAUUCAAAUAGGCAGUGAGAGUUGGAAGAAAUCCUGAAUGACUGAGGAGAGAGACCCAGAGAAGGGCCUCCUGGAAAGGGGGAUGGUAGAAGGCGUGUCUCACAGAGCUAUGACUCAGUGAGCUCUUGUUGGAAGGCAGCAGUCCCUGACGCCAAAUCCUGCCUUGCACACACUUGCAUAGCAGCCUUGCUUGCUGCUGUUCAGUCAUUUCUGUCCUGUCUGACUUUCUUUGACCCCAUUUGGGGUUUUCCUGACAGAGAUGCUGGGGUGCUGGGUACGUCAUUUAAAUUAUCCAUGCCUCAUGUACCUGUGCUCUGCAGUGCUAUGGUUGGAGUCCAUCACCCCAAAAGAUUCCCUGCAGCUUUUAUCUCUGUUAAUAUGGGAGAUAAAGAGCCAGGGAAAAGACCAUAUAUUGUUCAUUGGGAUUCAAAAGAAGAUUCUAGGGUUUUAGGAGGGCAGAGAUACAGUAGGAAGAAGGAAAACAAGGAAGAAGAAAAAAGGAGAAGGCUAGUGGGAUAUAAUGGAAAUGUGGGUUAGAUUUAGGGUUAGAUUUAGUGAGAGUCGGGAAGCAGUUAGGGUUAGGAUUAGGGAGACAAAGCUGUAAGGGUGACAUAAAGAGAAAUGAUGUAGAAUGAGGAAAAAAGAUCUCUCGAUCAUUUGCAAGGGAGUAUGGAAGAAGUCAGAAGAUUGGGCUUCUGCCUCUGUCUCUCACCUCCCUAAGUGAGGGAGAGACAGCGAGGGACAGCUUCAGUGGGGGCUGGGAGAAAGACAGCGAAGGGUAUAGAAUCAGGCAGUUAUUCAGCAAGCAUUUAUUGAGUUGGUAAAAUGUUCCAGGCAGUACAUUAUGUCCUGGGAAUACAAAUAUAAGGAGACAAAAAUAGAAUCUCUGCCCUCAGAGAAAUAAUUGCAGUGGUGGAAGCUAGCUUAGCAAAGAAAGCUGAAAAUUGAGUGUGGCUGUGGGGGAGGAGCGGAGCCAGUGUGGGAACAAGAUGGAGAUAUUCCAAGUAUAUCCUGGCAGGAGAGGUAGAGCUGGGUGCCAUGGGGGGUUCCAUCCAUUCAUAGAGACAUGUCCUAGGUCUGAUGGUUCUUCUGAGGGUAUAUUCUAGGUUAGAAGAGGUUUUCUAGGAAGAAGAAGCUCCUGAGAGAAGUCCUGAAGAAAAAUGAAGAGCACUAGAUUUUGGAGUUGUAAGUAUCUGAUUUCCCCAGGCUGGUUACCACGGUAACAUAUUAAUCUCCCCUGGAAAGGAUUUCCUCCUCUGAAGAAUGGUGCCUCUCAAUUGGAUGGAUAGCCUGUUGUUUCCUUCCAGCUCAAUAUGCCUGGGAAUAAAGGCAAAAGAACACCCUUGUGAUUCUGGAGACAAGAGAUAACAUUCAGGGAAUAGACCAUCAAAUAGAGGGGAGACGGGAAGUACAUAAGUGAGGUACAGGCUUGGUUUGGGGAGACAGAGAAACAAAGAGAAUCACUUGACAAUGGGCAAAGAAGUAAGAAGAGAUCAUUGUGGAGGAUAGUCAACAAUUGAGGAAGACCAUAGGUGAGCAAGAUAAAGGCAAGGGAUAUUGCUCAAUUUUAGGGCAAGCCAGCUGGGAGUAAUCAUAGUUAUAUAUAAUUAUUUGAGUUUAAAUCCUACAUUGACUGCUGACAAGCUUUGUUACUCUGGAGAAGUCAUUGUCAGCCUCAGUUUUUUAUUUAGUAAAAUCAUAGGCCUGGAUUUGAUGGUGUCUAAUGACGCCCAAGCUCUGUGACAUUUUAUGUGUCAGAGCAUUGAAAGCCCUUGUCUACUUGGAGUGGUAGAAGAAAAUGAGAGAGAAUAUGACAUAAAAUAGAAUAGAGACAGAAUGGACAGCUGCCAAAGUGGCUGUGAAGGAUGUGUAUUUCACACAUCUAAUUCCCUUAGUGGUCUGAGUUUUGAUAUCAUGUUGAGCUGAGGUCAAAUCCUCCUUAACAUUCUGUAGUACUACUUGAAACUGGGCGAUUCACUUAGAGUGUCUAAGCCUCUAUUUCCAGUAUUAUAACUUAAAUGGAGUUGGAAUCCGUAGCCCAUAAGGUUCCUUCCAGCUAUAAACACAUCAUAUUGCUUAUAGAGAGAAAAAGAAAAGACCACUUAUUGUAAGAUGAAAAGGAAAGAGUAGGAGGCAGAGAGGUAGAUCAGAGAACUCCACUCCAUUGAAUAGGGCAGUGAGGGACAGCUUCAGUAGUGGGGGCUGGGAGAGAGACAGCUAAGGGUAGAGUGAGUAAGUUAUUAAACAAGCAUUUAUUGAGCUUGUAAAAUGUACCAGGCAGUACACUGUGCCCUGGGAAUACAAAUAUUCAGAGAUAAUAAUAGAAUCUCUGCCCUCAAAUAAUUGUAGUUGUGGAAGCUAGCUUAGUAAAGGAAGGUGAAAAUUGAGUGUGGUUUGGGGGAUGAGCGUAGCCAGUGUGGGGACAAAAUGGAGAUAUUCUAAGUAUAUGCUGUCAGGAGAGGUAGAGGUAGGUGCCAAGAGUGCCCUCCAUAAAGGCAGGUGCUAGGAGGAUCCAUCCAUUCAGAGAGGUACCCAGGUUUGAUGUUCUUCUGAGGAGUAAACUCUCAAGUCAGAUGAGAUUUUCCCUGGACAACGGGUUUCUGGGGUCGGUGGAGAAAUCCAGAAGAAAAAUGAAGAGCACUGGAGUUUGGAAUCAUAAAUACAUGGGUUCAAAUCCCGCCUCCGGUAAGUUACCAGUAAAAUAUGCCUGGGAAUAAAGGCAAAAGAACCCCUUGUAAUUCUGCUAAGAGUCAAGACAAAUACAUGAAAGGAAUAAAACACUGAGUACAGGAGAGACAUAAGAGAGAAAAGAAAUAAGAAUGGAGCCUGUUUUAGGGAGGGGAAGUUAGUUGUUCCAGAGAAUUAGAGAGACAGAGAAAGAGAAAGGAACCCCUUAAUGAGAAGGGAGUGAAGGGAGGGAAAAUACUAUUGUAGAAGACCAUGUGCAACUGAGGAAAAACAUCGUAGAUCAGGGAGAAAUGGAAAAGUAGGGACAGCGCUCAAUUAUAGGAUGAGGCACCUAGGAAUCAGUGGGUAGUACAGUUGCCUAUUUGAGUUUAAAUCCCACAUUGACAGCUGACAAAUUUUGUUGCUCUGGAGAAGGCUUUUAACUAUUGUAAACCAUUGUUUUCUCCUCAUUAAGUAUGUUAGGUGGGAUGUGAAAGUGACACACCAAUUAUAUGAUCCUCUGGAUUCCAGAGGGAAAAGGAUGUGCACAUGAGAUUACGCUUGAAAUAGACAUAGAUUUAGAGAGAAUCUGAUAUUGAGGAUGAGAAAGAUGCAUCCACAGAAAAUAGACGUUAUGUAUAGUGGAUCAAAUAUGUAGAUCCAACCAACAAGAUCACCUAAAUAACUUGGAAUUUAGGGUGAUGUGGAUUCAAAUCCUACUUCCCAUCUUAAUAAAUGUGUGAUGCUGGGCAGUUCACUUCAAUUGUCUAAACCUCUGCCCUCUAUUAUAGUACAAUGGAGUUUGACAAAUUGACCUCUAAGGUUUACUCCAGCUCUAAUUCUGUGAUCGUAUUGAUUAUAAGGAUAAAAAGGAAAGAUCCAUUAUUACUGACUGGGAAUUAGAGCUAAGAAUAAAAGCUGAGUGAGAGAGCAAAAGACAGAGAUGGGACAAUGGAAGACAAGACAUAAAAGGAAGAGAAGGAGAAAGGGAAAUGGAGAGAGGAACACAUAGAGAAAUUAAGAGAAACUUGGAGAAAGAUAAUUAGAAACAGGCACAGAGAUAGAGAAUCAUAAUGUACAAGGGAGUGAUGGAAAAGACAAUUAUGGAGGAAAAGAAACAAGGAGACCAAAGAUAAGGGAGAGAUGGAAAGGAACGAACACCUAACAAGUGUGGGGCCAACCAGCUCAACUCAAGAGGGUUUAAACCUCUAUUUCGCCUAUUCAAAUUAAUUGGGUUUGGACUCAGUGGCGCCAUAGGCUCGUUCCAGAUUUAAAUCUAUGAUCAUAGUCUUAAUAGGUAGAAAACAAAACACUAUUACUGAGUAUCAUUUACAGUAAAGGGAAAAAGGCUUUUGAGGGAGAGAUUAGAAGGUAAAGGAAAAGAACAGAAUCAGAGAAGAAGAGUUAGACAUAGAAUGAAGACAAAGUAAGGGAUAAGAAUAGAGAAAGCGGCAGUGAACUAUUAAGUGAAAUUCAGAGACAGCUAUAAGAAGAAAAAUAGAAAAAGGAAUACAUGGAGAUGGAAAUUUAACAAAAAUACCUGAUAAUGAGCAAUAGAGUAAGGGAACAAUCAUUAUCUAGGGAGAUGAAUAAAGAGAAAAGACCUCAGGUGAUAGAUGCAUAGGGAAGAGACACCUGGCAUGUGUAGAACACACCUAGUAGGUGUCCUGAUGAAUAGAACACUUCUUGGAAUUGAGUUUAAAUAUUAUUAGACAAACUCUGUUCCUUUUGAGAAAUCACUUAAGUAUUUGCCUCAGAUUUCUCUUCACUACUGGGCUGGAUUUGAUGGUAUCUAAUGAUACUCCAGCUCUCUGAACCUCUAGAUUCCAGAGAGAGAAAGGAAAGUCACCUUGAGAUUGAGCCUGAAUAAAGAUAAAGACGUAGAAUGAAUCAGGCUUUGAGGAUGAGAUGAAGACAAGGAAACAUCCCUAGGAAAUAGAAGCAGGUAUGGCGGAGUAAUAUGUAGAGCAAAAGAACUAGGUCUCCUAGUGGACUCUUUGGAAGUCAGAAAGACCUGAGUUCAAAUGACAGUUCAAAUAUUUUGAGAAAGGGCCAUGUAGUUAGAAUGUCUAGGGCUUCUCUCUUGCUAUAUUAGAAUUGGACUGAAUGACAUCUAAUGGUGAUUUCAGCUCCAAUCUUAUGAUCAUAGUCAUGAAAGAGGAUAAGUGAAAGACCAGUUGUUUAGUGGGAAUUAGGGUUAAGAAGGAAAAGCUUUUGGGAAGGAGAUAGAAGGAAAGAGAGAGACACAGAAAAAUACAGAGACCAGUUAUUCAGUGGAAAUUAGAUUUAAGAAGGAAAAGAUUUUGUGAAGGAGAGAAGGAAAGAGAAAAAGAGACACUCAGAAAAAGAUAUAUAGAGAAAAGAGACAGAAACAAAUAGAGACAGAAAAAUACAGAGACAAGUUAUUAAGUGGAAUUUAGAGUUAAGAAGGAAAAGUUUUUGAGAAGGAAAGAGAGAUACAAAAAGACAAACAGAAACAGAGACUAGUUAUUAUUCAGUUGGAAUUAGAGUUAAGAAGGAAAAGCUUUUGAGGAGAUAGAGAAGGAAAGAGAUAGAGAAAAAGAGAGACAAAAAAGACAUACAGAGAGAUAAAAAACAAAUAUAGAUAGAAAAAUACAGAUCCAGUUAUUCAGUGGUAAUUAGUAUUGAGAAGGAAGGAGAGACAAAGAGAUAGACACAGAGAGAAACAGAAAAAUACAGAAACCAGUUAUUUAGUGGAAAUUAGAGUUAACAAGGAGAAGCUUUUGAAAAGGAGACAGAGACACAAAGAGAGGCAGACAGAAAAAUUAAGAGAAACAGAAAAGGAGAGAGACAAAAACGAGGACACAGGCAGAGAGAAAUAGAGACGAAGAAGCAUAGAGAAAUACAGAGAUAAAAUCAGAAAAAGGCCAAGACACAGAAAAAGAAUGAGAUACAUCGAAAACCAGAGAGAUUGAGAUAUAGAAACAGGGAAAUGGGAAAAGAGAAAGAAAACUCCAUGAUAAAGGCAAUGAGGGAAGAUAUCAUUUUGGUGACAGCAAGCAAUUAGGCUAGGAGACAAAAAGAUUUAAAGGGAUUUAAAGGGAUUUCCCUUGGGAAAUGUGGGGAAUCCAGACCUCAGGUUUAGAGCAUUAUACUUUUGAGUUGACCAAAUUUCAAUUUCCCCUCAGGGGCUGACAGGGUGUCUUAUUCUAAGUUUCUUAACCACUGUCAACCUCAGUUUUAAUCUCAGUCAGCGUAUGGGGAUGGACUUGAUGAUAUGUAAUAACCCUCCAGCUUCAUGAUCCUCUAGUUGCUGGAGAGUAAAAAUCAUGUCCAAUUGGGAUUAGUUUUGGAAGAGAGAGUGAUGAAUUAGUGUGAAUCAGCCAUUGGAGAUGAGAGGUAGAGAGACAAGUGUCCACAGGAAAUGGAAGUAUAGGGAGUAAGGGAGAAUAUGUAGAAUAAAACAGCUACAUAUCCUUAGGGAGCCGCCUUGGGAUUAUGAAUGAUCUGAGUUCAAAUCCUAGUUAUUUUAAAUAUUGAACCCUAGGUAAUCCAUUUAGAGUUGUCGCCUCUAUCCUAUUAUAAUAGAGGAAGACUUAAUGAUCCCUAGGGAUUCUUCUAGCUCUAAAUAUAUGAUUUUGUUGAUAAUAAGGAGCAAAAGAAAAGGUCAGUUAUCACUCAAUGGAAAUUAGAAAAAGUCUUUGAUUAAGAUGUAGAGAGGAGAGAAAAAAGGAGGGAAAGAGAGAGAGAAUUCAAGUGGCAGAGAUCAGGAAAGAAAUAGAAUGAGAGAGAGCAAAAAAUUGUUGUUUAGAUAUAAAGAUGACAUCAAUAGUUAUAGACAUAUAGAAAGAGAGACAGACAGACAUACAUGAUAGUUAGCAUGAUAUACAUAUAGACAUACGUGACAGGGCGUGAAGGAAGAGAUUAUUAUGGAGGAAAAUGAGAAAUAGAGAUGAGAACGAAAAUGAGGUAGACAUAAAAAGUAAUGAGACACUUAGGAAGUAUAGAAUAUGUCAGCUAAGGGUCAUAGUUACUAGGAUGCACUACCAGCAGUUGAGCAUUUAAGUUUAAAUUCUACCAUCGUAGCUGACAAGCUUUGCUACUCUGGAGAAGUCCCUUAACCACUGUCAGCCUCAUCUCAGUAUAUUUAUGGGACUGGAUUUAAUGGUUUCCAAGGAUAUUUCACCUCUAUUAUCCUCUGGAAGCUAGCGAGAGAAAAAGUGGCCACUUGGAAUUAAGCUUGAAUAGACAGAGUUAGAGGGACUCAGGCAAUGAGAAGAGAAUUAGAAGAAAGCAUUCCUAGGAAAUAGAAAUAUGUCCUGUGGGAGGAAUAUGUCAAAACAAUUAGGUCUCCUCCUGGACUCUUCUUGGAAGUCAUAAUAAAUUCAGUUGCAUUCUACACCUCUGUCUGUUAUUUACCAUAACAUAGGUCCAGUGGCCCCUAAGUUCCCUUCUAGCUCUAAAGCUGUGAUCAUAGUUAUAAUAGAAAAAGAAAAGAGGAGAUAGAAACGAGAGGGAUUCAGGGAGAAACAAAUAGAGACAGUGGCAGAGAGAGAUAGUAAACGAGAGACAGAUACAACAGGGACAUUAACACAGAGUAAAGACAGAGAGUGAAUCCUAUGAUAAUGAGAAAGGGAGUGAGAAAAAAGACCAUUAAGCCAAAAAAAUCAGCACUAGAGUAGGAGACCACAGGUUAUGGAUAGAUGUAAAGAGCAGGGAUACCAUUUAAAAGCAGGUUGGUGUCCCAAUCGUUAGUGUACAUCACAUGGGACUGAAUCUGAUUUUAUGUCCCACUCCAGCCACUGCUAAAGCUGGCACUCUAGGAAAGUCACGUAACCAGUGUCAGCCUCAGUUUUUUCCUUUGGUAAAAUCAUUGGGCUGGAUGUGAUGGUGUUUAAUGAGGCUUAAGCUCUCUGAUCUUCUGGAUACUAGAGAGAACAAAGAAAUCUCAUGUAGACUUGGGGUAGGAGAAGAAAAUUAGAGGUAAUAGUGCAUCAAAGAGAAUGGAGAUAAAGAGAAGAAACAGCUGGGAAGGGGGAUGGGAAGUAUGUGUAGGUCACAGAGAUGUAGAAAAGGGAAGGUUGGAGAGGGAUUAAGAGAGUGAGAUAAGGAAGGAGAAACAGAGAUAGAGAAUGAGAUAGACAAAGAUUUAUAAAUAAAAUUAGUGACAGUAAGAUAGAAACAGAAAACCUGAGAGAGAGAGAGAGAGAGAGAGAGAGAGAGAGAGACAAACAGAGAAAUAUAGGAUAAUGCAAAAGAAAACAUUAGGAGACCAUUAUGGAAGAAUAAGAAUAGACUAGAAAUAAGAGACUUCAAGUAAGGGACAGAAGCAAAGAUGAUAGGAGAUAAAGAAAAAAAAACAGUUGUUAUGGGUAGGAUUUAGGAUAGGGAAAGAAAGAUUUUGAGUAGCAGAUAGAAGAAAAAGGAAGGGAGAGAAAGAGAGUGAGCAAGAGACAGAAAGAAAUAGAGAUAAAGAAAUAGAUUGACAGUGAGGUAUUAAGAGAAACCCAUAAAAACAGAGAGAGAGAGAUUACCAUAUGAUGAUAAGGUAGUGAUAGAAAUGACAAUUAUGGAGGAAGAUGUCAGAGAAUAUAGAUGAGAGAGAUUCAGAGACAGAAAAUAAGAGAGAAAGAAGGAGAAAGGGGAGAUAGAGAUUGAGACAUAGACAUAGAGAUUGAGAGAGAAUAAAAAAAAUGAUGGGGAGAUAGAGACAAAGAUACAGAUUGAGAAACAGAAUAAGAAGACAGAUUAAGAGAAUGAGGGGCAGAAAGAGGAGGAGGGGAAAAGGGGAUACAUCAGAAACAGAAUAAGAGACAGAAGGAAGGAGAAAGGGGACAUAGAGAUAGAGAUUUAGACAAUAAGAAUGAGGGACAGGGAGAGAAAUUCAGACCCAGAAAAUCGAAUAAGAAGGAAGGGGAAAGGGAGACAAAGACUGAGAGAAUAAAAGAAAGAGGGAGAAAGGGGAGAGACAUGGGCAAUAGAGAUGGCUACAGAUUGAGAAAUAGAAUAAGACAAAAAGAUUAAGACAAAAGAAUGAAGGGCAGAGAGAGAGAAGGAGGGAGAAAGGCAAACAUAUCAAGAGAGAAACAGAGAUAGAGACAUAAUAAGACAGAAGAAAGGACAAAAGGGAAACAGAUGGGGGGAGAUAGAGACAGAUACAGAUUGAGAAACAGAUUAAGAGACAUUUGAGAGACAGAUUUAGACAUAGACAGAAAUAUAUAGAGAAAGAGAUUAAGAGAAUAAAAGAAAAUGAGCAGGGAGGGCAAAAGCGGAAACAGAUCAAGAGAGAAACAUACACAGAUACAGAGAGAGAAUAAGAGAAAAUAAUAGAGAAAAGGAGAAAGGUAAGAGACAUAGAGAUGGGGAGAAAGCGAUUAAGAGACAGAAUAAAAGAGAAUGAGGGGCAAAGAGAAGGAGAAAACAGAUUAAGAGAAACACACAGAGACAGAGGUGGGGUUUCAGAGGCAGAUUGAAAGACAAGACAGUUUGAGAAUGAAAGAGAAGAAAGGAGAAAGGAGAUAGAAAUAGAGAUUGAGAUACAGAUUAAGACAGAGAGAGAAAGAUUAAGAGACAGAAUAAGAGAAAUAGGAAACAUUAAGAGAGAAACAAAAGAGAGAAAAGGAGAAAUAGAAGCAAGACAAACGGGAGAGAGAGAGAGACAGAUUGAGAGACAAGACAGUGUGAGACAGUGAAAGAAGGAGAAAGGAGACAGAAAUAAAGACAAAUUGAGAGACAGUGAUUGAAAAACAGAUUGAGACAUAUAUAUAGAGAGAGAGAGAUUAAGAGACAGAAUAAAAGAAUGAGGGGCAGAGAGAGAAGGAAACAGAUCAAGAGAGACAGAAAUGGAGAAAUAAAAGUGACAGAGGUGGGGAGCCAGAGACGUUGAGGGACAAGACACAUUUUGAGACAGCGAAAGGGAGAAGGAAGGAGAAAGGGACAAAUUGAGAGUGUUUGAGAAACAGAGAAGUUAAGAGACAGAAUAAAAGAAUGAGGGGCAGAGAGAGAUAAGGAGGAAACAGAUCAAGAGAGGAACUCACAAAGAGACAAACACAGGGACAGUGGAUAAGAGACAGAAAAAGAAAGGGAGAAAGAAAGGUUAGAAAGACAUUGAGGUGGGGAGACAGAGGCAGAUUCAGAGACAAGACAGUUUGAGACAGUGAAAGAAGGAAGGAGAAAGAGAAAUAGAGAUAAAUUGAGAGACAAAUAUUGAGAAACAGAUUCAGACAUAUGUAGAGAGAGAAAGUGAGAUUAAGAGACAAUAAAAGAGAAUUAGGAGCGGAGAGAGAAGGAGGAAACAGAUCAACAGAGAAACAGCGAGAGAAAAGGAGAAAUACCUUGAGACAGGUGGGGAAAGAGAAAGAUAGGUUGAGAGAAAAGAAGACGCAGUUUGAGACAGUGAAAGAGAAGGAAGGAGAAAGAAGACAAAUUGAGAGAUUGAGAAAGUUUAGGACAUACAUAGAGAAAGAGAUUAAGGGAGAGAAAAAGAGAAGGAGGAAACAGAUCAAGAGAGAAACAGAAGCAGAAACAAAAGAGAGGUGGGCAGAGGUUGAGAGAAGACAGUUUGAGACAGUGAAAGAAGGAAGGAGAAAGGAGACAGAAAUAAAGACAAAUUGAGAUAGCGAUUGAGAAAUAGAUUGAGAUAUAUAUAGAGAGAAACAAGAGAGAUUGAGAUAGAAUAAAAGAAUGAGGGGCGGAGAGAGAUAAGGAGGAAACAGAGACAGAUCAAGAGAGAAACCCACAAAGAGUCAGACACAGGGAUAGCAGAUAAGAGACAGAAAAAGAGAAAGGGAGAAAGAAAAGUGAGACAGACAUAGAGGUGGGGAGACAGACAGAUUGAGAGACAAGACAGUUUGAGACAGUGAAAGAAGGAAGGAGAAAGACAAAUAGAGACAAAUUGAGAGACAAAGAUUGAGAAACAGAUAUAUAUGUAGAGAGAAAGAAAGUGAGAUCAAGAGACAAUAAAAGAGAAUUAGGGGCGGAGAGAGAAGGAGGAAACAGAUCAAGAGAGAAACAGCGAGAGAAAAGGAGAAAUACCUUGAGACAGGUGGGGAAAGAGAAAGAUAGGUUGAGAGACAAGACAAGACGCAGUUUGAGACAGUGAAAGAGAAGGAAGGAGAAAGAAGACAAAUUGAGAGACAGAUUGAGAAAGUUUAGAACAUACAUAGAGAAAGAGAGAUUAAGGGAGAGAAAAAGAGAAGGAGGAAACAGAUCAAGAGAGAAACAGUAGGAGAAAAGGAGAAAGAAAAGAGAUAGGUGGGGAGAGGUUGAGAGAUAGGACACAGUUUGAGACAGUGAAAGAAGGAAGGAGAAAGGAGACAGAAAUAAAGACAAAUUGAGACAGCGAUUGAGAAACAGAUAGAUUGAGAUAUAUAUAUAGAGAGAAACAAGAGAGAUUGAGACAGAAUAAAAGAAUGAGGGGCGGAGAGAGAUAAGGAGGAAACAGAGAUAGAUCAAGAGAGAAACCCACAAAGAGUCAGACACAGGGAUAGCAGAUAAGAGACAGAAAAAGAGAAAGGGAGAAAGAAAAGUGAGAUAGACAUAGAGGUGGGGAGACGGACAGAUUGAGAGACAAGACAGUUUGAGACACAGUGAAAGAAGGAAGGAGAAAGACAAAUAGAGACAAAUUGAGAGACAAAGAUUGAGAAACAGACAUAUAUGUAGCGAGAAAGAAAAGUGAGAUUAAGAGACAAUAAAAGAGAAUUAGGGGUGGAGAGAGAAGGAGGAAACAGAUCAAGAGAGAAACAGCGAGAGAAAAGGAGAAAUAAAAUACACAGGUGGAGAGAGAGAUAGAUACAAGAUACAGUUUGAGACAGUGAAAGAAGGAAGGAGAAAGGAGACAGAAAUAAAGACAAAUUGAGAGACAGUGAUUGAGAAACAGAUUGAUACAUAUAUAGAGAUAAAGAAGAGAGAUUAAGAGACAGAAUAAAAGAAUGAGGGGUGGAGAGAGAGAAGGAGGAAAUAGAUCAAGAGAGACAGAGAAAUGGAGAAAUAAAAGUGCGAUAGACAGAUAGGGAGAGAGAUAUAUUGAGAGCCAAGACACAGUUUGAGACAGUGAAAGAGAGAGGGAAGGAGAAAGGAGACAAAUAGAGAGAAAUUGAGAGACAGAGAUUGAGAAACAGAUUGAGAUAUAUGUAUACAGAAAGAGAAUUUAAGAGAGAAUAAAAGAAUGAGGGGUAGAUAGAGAGAAGGAGGAAAUAGAUCAAGAGAGAAACACAAAGAGACAGAGAGGAUAAGAGACAGAAAAAGAGAAAGGGGAAAGAAAAGUGAGACAGACAGAUUGAGAGACAAGACAGUUUGAGACAGUGAAAGAAGGAAGGAGAAAGGAGACAGAAAUAGAGAAAUUGAGAGACAAAGAUUGAGAAACAGAUAGAUUGAGACACAGAUAUAGAGAAAGAGAUUAAGAGAAUAAAAGAGAAUGAGGGGUGGAGAGAGGAGGAGGAAACAUCAAGAGAGAAACAGAAGGAGAAAAGGAGAAAUAAAAUACACAGGUGGAGAGAGAGAUAGAUACAAGAUACAGUUUGAGACAGUGAAAGAAGGAAGGAGAAAGGAGACAGAAAUAAAGACAAAUUGAGAGACAGUAAUUGAGAAACAGAUUGAUACAUAUAUAGAGAUAAAGAAGAGAGAUUAAGAGACAGAAUAAAAGAAUGAGGAGCGGAGAGAGAGAAGGAGGAAAUAGAUCAAGAGAGACAGAGAAAUGGAGAAAUAAAAGUGCGAUAGACAGAUAGGGAGAGAGAUAUAUUGAGAGCCAAGACACAGUGUGAGACAGUGAAAGAGGGAAGGAGAAAGGAGACAAAUAGAGAGAAAUUGAGAGACAGAGAUUGAGAAACAGAUUGAGAUAUAUGUAUACAGAAAGAGAAUUUAAGAGAGAAUAAAAGAAUGAGGGGUAGAUAGAGAGAAGGAGGAAAUAGAUCAAGAGAGAAACACAAAGAGACAGAGAGGAUAAGAGACAGAAAAAGAGAAAGGGGAAAGAAAAGUGAGACAGACAGAUUGAGAGACAAGACAGUUUGAGACAGUGAAAGAAGGAAGGAGAAAGGAGACAGAAAUAGAGAAAUUGAGAGACAAAGAUUGAGAAACAGAUAGAUUGAGACACAGAUAUAGAGAAAGAGAUUAAGAGAAUAAAAGAGAAUGAGGGUUAGAGAGAGAGACAAGUAUGGAGAAAGGGGAAAGAGACAGCGAUCAAGAAAGAAACAGACACACAGAGACAGGAUAAUAGACAGAAUAAGAAAGCCAGAAAGACAAAAGGAGAAAGAAAGUCAUAUCCACAGACAAGACAGUUUGAUUCACAGUGAAAGAAUAAAAGAAGGAAGGAGAAAGGAGACAAAUUGAGAGACAGAAUGAAGGGUAGAAAGAGAGAAGGGUCAAGAAAAGGGAGACAGAGACAGAGCGAGAGAGAAACAGACAGAUAGAGAGACAGAUUGAGACAUAGAGAGAAUGAGACAAAAAGAAUAAGAAAAGGAAUAUGAAAGAGAAAAGAGAGAGAGAAAGAGACAAUCAUUGGGAGACAAUAAGAAAGGCAGAGAGGAGGAGGAAGAAAAAAGACAUACACAGAGAAAGAAAGAGACAGAUGUGAAGAGAUAGAGAAUAAUAAGAGAAAGAAUAAGAGGGGCAGUGAGAGAAAAAGGGAGAAAUGGGAGACAGAAAGACAGACAGAUCAAGAGAGAAAGAGACAAAGAUACACACAGAGACAGAGACAGACACGUAUAUAGAUAUAAAAGGACAGGACACCUGGUCAAUGUAGAGCAAGCCAUCUAGGUGUCCUGGUGGAAAGAGGGUUCUACUUGGAACUGAUCCCACAUUGGCUGCUGACAGCUUUGUUACUCAAACGAAAUCAUCAUCUUAAGUCAUGGAACUUGAUUUGAUGGUGUCUAACAAUGCUGAAGCUCAAUAAAUAUAUGGGUAUCAGAUAAGAAAGCCCUUAUGGCCUUGGGAUAGGAGAAGAAAGAGAGGGAAGAAGACAUCAAUGAUGGGAGAGAUGCAGAGAAGGGAUGUCUGGAAAGGCAGAGUGGAAUACCAUAGGUAACUCACAGAACUGUGUCCCUGGUGUUGGAAGUCUUAGGGAACUGAGUUUCCAUUCUAUUUGACAUCCUUUAUAAUCAUUUGAAAUUUGACAAUUCAGUUGGAGUGCUUAAGCCUCUAUUUCUUUUGUUUUAAUGAAAUAGAGUUGGAUUCAGUGGCCAAUAAUGCUAAUCCUAUGAUGGUAUUGGAGAUAAUUGAGAAUGAGAAAAAGCCAGUCAUCAUUGAGUUGGAGUCAGAGUAAGGGAAGAAAGCUUAUGGAAGGGAAGGGAGAGAGAGUGAAAAAGAAGAGACUAGUCAGAGAGUCAGAGAAAGAGAUAGAGACAGACAGACAGACAGUAAAAAUAGAAGCAGAUAGAAACAAGAGCAGCAGAAUGAACAACUUGAUGGACAAAUCAGUGAAGACAGUGAUCAAUUAAAGAAAGAGAUUAAAAGAUAAAAAUGGAAAUGUAGGGUAAAUAAGUAAGGUGUCAUAGUGGUCACAGCAUUAUAAUUAGAAAUUUUUAUUUGAUAUCAGGGGCUGACAAAGUGCUUAUAAGUCCCUCAAGUACUGUCAGCCUUAGUUUUCAUCUUUGUCAAAUUUUGGAGCUGGACUUGAUGGUUUCUAAGGACCUUCGAGCUCCAUGAUCCUCUGGUUUCCAGAGAAUGAAAAUCAUGUCUCACUGGGAUUAGUCUUAGAAGAAAUUGAGGCAGAGUUAGUGUGAAUCAGGCACUAAGGAUGAGAGGGAGAGACGCAAGUGUCCACAUGAAAUGGAAGUAUAGGGAGUAAGGAGGAAUACGUGUAAAAAAAUAGCUAGAUAUCCUAGUGCACUCUUCUUGGAAUUAUGAAUGUUUUUGGGAGAUGGGCAAUAAGUGUUUGGCCUUGUAUAUUUCAGUUAGAACAAACAUUCUUAAACUGUGGAUCAUGACCUCAUAUGGGGUCGCAUAACUGCACAAGGGGGUCACAAAAUUAUGAUUCUGUAUAAAAAUUUCUUGGACAAAAAGGGGUCACGAGUGGAAAAAGUUUAAGAAGCCCUACAGUAGAGAUUAAGCCACUGUCCUCGUUAUAUUGCAAUGAAGUAGAAACAAAUGGUCCCUCAGGUUACUGACUGGGAAUUAGAAGAAGGAAAUAAUGCUUUUGAGCAGAAGAUUGAAAGGAGGGGGAAAGAGAAGGAUUGAGAUAAAGACAAAACAAUGAUAGAGACAAAGGGAGAAAUAGAAUGUGAGAGAGGGACACAGAACAAUAUAUAUGGAGAGAAAAAGUGAGAGCAGUUGUAAGACAGAAAACUCAGGCAGAUAUAGCAUAAGACAUAGAAACAGACACACAACCACAAGAUAUUGAGCAAUUAGUGAUGGAAGAGACAAUGAUAGAGGAUGAUGAGCAAUAGAGACAAGAGAGCCAGGUGAGGGCAGAAAGCAAAGGAAAGAGUUAUCACGCCGGUAUAGGGCAGGUCAGCUUGGUGUCAUAGUGGAUAGACACUUUACUUGGAAUUCACUUAUUGAAUUUAAAUCCUAUAAGAGUCACUGACAAGUACUGUUCCUUUGGAAAAGUCACUUCUAUGUUCAACCUUAGUUUUUUGCUUAGUAAACUUAUUGUGCAGGAUUUGAUGAUAUCUAUUGAUGCUUCAGCUCUAUGAUCCUCUUGUAGCCAGAGAGAGAAAAGGAUUUACACUUGGGAUUAAGCUCGAAAUAUAAAGAGAUAUAAUCAUGGGGAAUCAGGCAUUGGCCAUGAGAAGGAAUCAUCUACAGACAAUAGAAGUAUCUACACUUUGGGAAAAUGGAGAGAAAUGCAGCUAGGUCUCAUAAGUUACAGUUUUUUGAAGUAAGAAUGAAUCUAGUCAGGGUAUCUAAGCCUCUAACUGCUGUUUUACUAUUAUGGACCUAAUGGGCCUUAAAGCUCUAAAACUGAUAAUAUAUAGAGUAGGGGAAACAUAAAGAGCCACUUAUUUAUAGAUGGGCAUUAGAGUAAAGGGAAAAAGCUUUUCAGGAGGAGAUGAUAGAGACAAGGAGGAGAAAGGAAGAGAGACAGAGAUAUAAAAUGAGAAAGCACUGUGAAGAAGAUGAGAAUUCGAGGGAGAAAACCCCAAAUGGGGACGAGAUUAAAAGGAAUAGGCUCCCCUAAGAGGAAGACUGAGAAUGAUGGAAAGAGAUUUGACUUUGGAGUCAAGAUAUUGGAGUUGGAAACCUGAUGCUUAAUAUGUGUUCCUGGGCAAUUCUAUUGCCUUUUUCAGCCUCAGUUUCCUUCUACAUAAAUGAUGGUACUGGCUAUGGUGGCCUUUAAGGUCUCUCUGGCUUUAUGACUUUAUGGAUGGGGAGAGAGAAAGGAAAGCCCACUCAGGACUGGAGUGAUAUGGAGAAUGAUAAAGUUAGAGAAAAUUAGAGAAAAAAUAUAGAGGAGGAGAGAGGUACUGAGUGUGAGUGAGAACAAGGCAAAAGCCUUGUGAGGAGGAGAGACAAAGGAAGGGAUUGGCGAGCCCAGGGGAAAGGCUGAGUGAGAGGGCCAGGAGAACUGGGGAGUCAGAAGGGUAGGUUUCUAGAGACAGUGAUAGUGAAGGACAGGGAGUAGAAAGGGAAGUUAGGAUUUUAGACCUGGGACGUGUCUGGGAGGCAGCUCGGGGCCAUUUAAUAGAGUCCUCUGGUGGAAGGAGAACUACUGGAGUUUGCAUCUGAACUCAGCUGGGGCAAAGUUGGUUUAUCCCGGGCAAGUCACUUCACUUACCUUAGCCACAGUUUUCUCUUCUGUCAAAUGCUGGUGUCGCACUUGAUGAUCCCCCGUUGUCCUGCGUCCGUAUGGCGCCGUGAGGGUCAGAGGGCAAGCAAGCCCUGGCACUGAUGCCAUGUGUGUGUGUUGGAAUGAGAACCACAGUCAUGUUGCCACAUCUUGAUGGCCUAAAAUGUAGAAAUCCCCCAGCUCCCUGCUGGAUCCUAGAGUUCCCCUAUCCCCCUACAAGGACAGGAUCAAAAUCUUAUCCACCAUGAUGACAAGCACUUGCUGUCCUUGGAUAAGAGACCAUGCAUUUUUGUCCAAAAUGGCUCCUUGUUCAAUUUUAAUAAAAUUUGGUCCCUUCCUCUUAUCUCCUGCCCUUGAAUAAAAAGUAAAUUCAUCUUAAUGAACGUUAGAAACAUUCAUUAAGUACCUACCACAUGUCAGGCCCCAUGUUAAACCCUGGAGAUGUAAAGAAAGGUGAAUGGCAGCUCUUCAUGAGCUCCCAGUCUAAUGGCAGAGACAACAAGCCAACAGCUACGUAGGAGCCUUGUUGAGAAAGGAGACCAUUGCAGGCCUGGGGGACAGCCACUGAUAAUGGUUAGAGUCAGAAGAUGGAGCGUGUUGUUCCGAGAAAAAGGAGGCCAUUGUCACUACAUUACUUAUAUAUUAUAUUUGGGGGAGUGUAAGGUGAAAGGAGACUGGAAAGGCGGCUGGUCAGGAAGGGCUUUGAAUGCCAAGCAGAGGCUUUUAGAUCUCAUUUUGGAGGCUCUGGGGGUCACUGAGUAGUGGCCCUGCUGGCUGAGCAGCUGAAUGGAGGAUGGAGGGGACAGGGCGAGAAUGGAGGCAGGAAGAGCAAUAAAAAGGCUCUUUCAGAGGCUCAAUAUGAGAUGAUGAGGAAGUGCCCCAAGGUGGGGGCAGUGUCAGAGGACAGAAGUGUCACUUGUGAGAGGUGUGCAGAAGGUCAAAUGGAUAGACCUUGGUGACAGAUAAUAAAUCCUUUGGUUUUCCUUCCAAAUUUUCCCUUUCCUCCUUUGGCUCAUCCCUUUUAUUUUCUCUCUCUCCCUCUCAUAAAAAAAGGAGUAUGUAGACUGCUCCUUAAAACCACCAUAUUUUGAGUGCUUCAAAGGUUACACACCCAAUUUCUUCCUUGGAAAGCUGUAUUUGUUUCUAUUCAUGGAGAACAGCCUUCCUUAGCAGGGUAGAUGUAGCAGGUGUUGAUCUAGGGUCAUUGGCUUCUGGUUAAUUGUUGGGCUUCUUGUAAGAGGUUGAGAAUGUUCCAAAUGUUUGCAAUUAGAAGGCUGAUUAGUGUGGUUUGCGGUGAGCUAGUGGAGUGAUGGGAUACCUGGGACUGCUGGAACGCGCACGAGGUAAGAUUUUUGCUUACCUGACUGGCCUCCCAUGGUUCUGUCAUUCUUCUGCUCGUUGGGCAGGAAGAGUGGUUUUUAUGCAGGUUUCUUUGGUCUAAAGGAGAGGUGAGUGAAACUCGUAGAAAUGGUGGUGAGUCAGGUGUUGGUUGGUUGUGGCUUCACAGGAAGGGCAGUUCUGUGCCAGGGAAUUGGCUUAGUUGUGAACUGUUGAUCGAGGCUGGGACCAUCCGUCUUAGUAGCUGUAGCUACUUCUGAAGCUUUCUCUUUCGCAGGUAGGGAGGAAAGAUGUAGGAACCUUGUGCCUCAAUAGGAGGAACACUUCCUUUGUCUUGUGAGCAGAAGAGCUGAGACGAAGACUUCAGAUGGAACCUCCUGCUCUUUGCCUCAAGAAAAAUUGUUCAUUCCCCCAUGAAAUUAAGAGAAGGCAUUUGAUAGGUUUGCAUGUGUGCAUAAAUGAGGACGGCCAGUGAUUGUGUGAGUGAAUGUAUAAGCUCAAACACAUCAUGAGGCAAAACUCUUGUGAAGACCUCAAUGAGUUCUGUGGAUGGAUCUUCUCACAGUGAGAGUCUGACAAUCACUGGUUCCUGAACUAGCUCAAGGAUUGGCCACUUCUUUUCCUCUUGUAUUCCAAAACUUUAGUGGACCAAAUGAAGAACCAAGAAAAUCACACAAUCUUUGGUCAUCUCUUGACUAAAUAAAAUUAGUCUCUAUUCUUCUUAUGACUUUGAAAAGGGAGCUUAGAAUUAUGGCAAAAUUUCUUUUCUUGAGAGUAGGAGAAAGUGAGCUUGUUUGUUCUUUGUAAUAUAGUAUAUAUGUUGUGGAAUUCCAAACUAAUUAGUGAACAGAUUUAUGAGUGAAUUGUAGUGUAUUUAAUGUGUAUUUCCAGAUUGUGAGGUUCUUAAGUUUUGAAUUUAUUCAUAUAUGCUCCAUUAUUUAAUUGGAUUUUGGGGGUAGAGCCAUUUAGAAGUCCUCAAAAUGAAUACUUGGUGGAAUUUGCAUACAAAAUUCACCCUAAUUUCUAUAGCAUUCUCUUUUUUCUUUGGAAAACUGAAGGAUUUAUUUCUUUUAUGUAGGAAUGAGAUUUCAGAGAGUAGAGGAUUUUCAGCCUUUAGCAUGACUGAAACGAGUUUAUAAGUUUUGUCUCCAGCGAUUCCAAAAGUGGUGAAAAAAUUAGGUAGUCAUUUUGUAGUUUGAAGUUUUGAACAUCAUCUGAUGUUUAACCUAGUUCAUUCCUGCUUGGAAAGAAAGAAGCUUUUUUAAAUCAGAGAGCAAUAUGGAAUAGGAGAAUAAGCAAUUUCUGUUUAGGAGAAUAGUUUUUCUGACCACUGUGGUCUUCUGUGACUCAUUUAGCUUAAUCUAAUUGCUGAGAAGCAGCCAUAGAAAUAAGAAGCAAAUAAAGUAAGAAAUCAAAUAAGAAAGAAAUUAGGAUGGACUAUGCCUGUGCAAGCUCUUAAGUAAGGAAUGAAAUUGGAAGAGUUUUGCUUGAGAAAGUGAGAAACUGCUUGUAAUCCUUAAUUUUGAUCACGAAAGAAUAAAGUUUUAAACUGAAUUUGAGAUGUACAAGGAAAAUAUGCUGAAGUUGCAGAGGAAGAUCCAGCAGAAUACAGAAAUUAGUCUCGAGAUCGUCUGAGAUAUGAUUUGGAGGAAGAGAGGUAUGAGAUUGAGAAAGUAGCUUAAUUGGCAGUUCUAGGGUAUGCAGGGAUCCGUCUACUUUAAUCCAAGUCAGAAUAGAGAGAGGACUGCCCUUUGUAACAUCUGUUAAGUAUUUCCCCCUUCUGUGCUUUGACAUGGACCCCAGUCUUGUCCAGGGCCUCAUUACCUCAUAUCUGGACUAUGGCAAUAGUGGCUCUGCUCCAAGUCUCCCCCUUCUAGUCCAUCCUCCAUUGGGCCAAGAAUGCUUUCCCUAAAGCGCAGGUCCAAUCAUGUUCCCUUUGCUCAGUAAGCUUCAGUGGCUCCCUACUGCUUCCAGAAUCUAAUAAAUAAUAUUUUCUUAGAUCAGAUCUCUUCCCAAGUUGCCCUUCCUGCAUUUGAGUCUCGUUCUACUUUAUUCUCCUCCACCUCCCCUGGGUGCAGCGACAUUAUCCUCCUUGCUGUACCUUGAAGGUAAUUCUGUCCCCUGACUAUUCAUAUUUUCACUGGCUUUCCACCAUGCCUGUAAUGUUCUACCUGCUCAGUCUCAUGGUGGAUGGUCCUCUGUCCUUGGGGUCCAGACAAUUUUGCGUUCUCAUUCUGACUCACACCGUGGCAAACCGUGUUACUUCGGGAAAGUCAAUCGACUUCAUUCAGUCUCAGUUUCCUCUUUUGUAAAAAGAUGGGGCUGGAUGUAAUGUAACUUUCUAGCUCUGUGACCCAGCAGAUGAGAGAGAGAAAAAAGAAAGCCCCCUGGCAAUUUGUGUGAGAGAUUUGGAGGGAAGCUGGCAAUGAGGAAGAUCAGAGAGAAGCAAUGAGGCCUGGGGGCAAUGCGUGAAGUGACACAGGCUCCUAGAGGACACAUCACUGUUGUGGACAGUCCUGAGGCCCCAAGUUCAAAUUCUGCUUCACAAUGUGCUUCCUAGCUGUGUGAUACUAGCAAAGUCACCAAAAUUGUCUAAGCUGCUUUCUUCUUCUUUAAAAUGAUGGAGUUGGACUCAGUAGCCCUUAUGGUUCAUUCCAUCUCAAAAUGUCAGAUAAACUCAGUGACCAAGAGCUAAUGCAGAGUACUGAUUUCUAGAUUAGAGGGACAGUAGGUCAGAAAGCUUCUGAGCCACACAGUCAGAGAAGAGGAACAUUUUCUGUGGACAGUGAGGUUUCUGAGUGGACUGUCCUUGGAGGUUUAGAGCUGAGUUCAGAUCCAACUUUGCGUUCUCACUAAAUAUUUGCGCCUGGGAGAUUCAUUUAGAGUGUAUAAACUUUUGUUUCUUCUGAGACAAUAUAAUGGAGUUGGACUCAGUGGCCCCCAGGUUUCUCCCUGGUCUAAAUCUAUGAUUAUAUUGAUGAGAGAGGGGAAAAAUUGAUUAUUAUUUGUAAAAAUUAUCAAAAGGAUAAAAACUUUUGAGUAGGAAAAGA